rnacentral:rRNA from 1 species
AGAGUUUGAUCAUGGCUCAGAUUGAACGCUGGCGGAAUGCUUUACACAUGCAAGUCGAGCGGCAGCGCGGGGGCAACCCUGGCGGCGAGCGGCGAACGGGUGAGUAACAUAUCGGAACGUACCCCGUCGUGGGGGGAUAACACAGCGAAAGCUGUGCUAAUACCGCAUACGACCUGAGGGUGAAAGCGGGGGAUCGCAAGACCUCGCGCGAUGGGAGCGGCCGAUAUCGGAUUAGCUUGUUGGUGAGGUAAAGGCUCACCAAGGCGACGAUCCGUAGCUGGUCUGAGAGGACGACCAGCCACACUGGAACUGAGACACGGUCCAGACUCCUACGGGAGGCAGCAGUGGGGAAUUUUGGACAAUGGGGGCAACCCUGAUCCAGCCAUUCCGCGUGAGUGAAGAAGGCCUUCGGGUUGUAAAGCUCUUUCAGCAGGAACGAAACGGUGGCCACUAAUACUGGCUACUAAUGACGGUACCUGAAGAAGAAGCACCGGCUAACUACGUG